rnacentral:rRNA from 1 species
CCUACGGGAGGCAGCAGUGGGGAAUUUUGGACAAUGGGCGAAAGCCUGAUCCAGCAAUGCCGCGUGAGUGAAGAAGGCCUUCGGGUUGUAAAGCUCUUUUGUCAGGGAAGAAACGGUGUGGGCUAAUAUCCUGCACUAAUGACGGUACCUGAAGAAUAAGCACCGGCUAACUACGUGCCAGCAGCCGCGGUAAUACGUAGGGUGCAAGCGUUAAUCGGAAUUACUGGGCGUAAAGCGUGCGCAGGCGGUUUUGUAAGUCUGUCGUGAAAUCCCCGGGCUCAACCUGGGAAUUGCGAUGGAGACUGCAAGGCUAGAAUCUGGCAGAGGGGGGUAGAAUUCCACGUGUAGCAGUGAAAUGCGUAGAGAUGUGGAGGAACACCGAUGGCGAAGGCAGCCCCCUGGGUCAAGAUUGACGCUCAUGCACGAAAGCGUGGGGAGCAAACAGGAUUAGAUACCCUGGUAGUCCACGCCCUAAACGAUGUCUACUAGUUGUCGGGUUUUAAUUAACUUGGUAACGCAGCUAACGCGUGAAGUAGACCGCCUGGGGAUACGGUCGCAGAUUAAAACUCAAAGGAUUGACGGNUGNGAGNGCGAGAGACGAGAGGAGAGG